rnacentral:rRNA from 1 species
AUGUUGAUGGAUCCUUCAUCGUGUAGACGGGAAUCGAUCAACAGCUCUGGGGCGGUUGCACGCGACACUCAAGGACAUGUAAUCAUCUCUGCAGGUUCCCUUGUCCUAGGAUGCUCGAGUGCCGAGGAAGCGGAAGCAAGUGCAAGAUGGAGUGGGCUCCAAAUCCUGCUUUUCAGUACGGUGAUUAUCGAGUCAAACUGCGCAGCUGUACUAGAUGACUUUAGCUCUGCGCACGUUAACAAGUCUAGAUGGUGGUCGUUGUUUUCAGAGCCGUGCACUCUUAUUAAGCAACAAUUUGUUGAAUGUGUCUUGCAGAAGAUCUGCCGCGACAGAAACACAGUGGCUCACGAAGUUGCUAGCCAUGGUUCCAUGGUCUUUUUGUGCUGCUUGGGGCUGUUACGCAUCGAGCUAUGCAUGUAUACAUGA